GAUGAACGCUGGCGGCGUGCCUAAUACAUGCAAGUCGAGCGAACGGACGAGAAGCUUGCUUCUCUGAUGUUAGCGGCGGACGGGUGAGUAACACGUGGAUAACCUACCUAUAAGACUGGGAUAACUUCGGGAAACCGGAGCUAAGACCGGAUAAUAUUUUGAACCGCAUGGGUCAAAAGUGAAAGAGGGUCUUGCUGUCACUUAUAGAUGGAUCCGCGCUGCAUUAGCUAGUUGGUAAGGUAACGGCUUACCAAGGCAACGAUGCCUAGCCGACCUGAGAGGGUGAUCGGCCACACUGGAACUGAGCCACGGUCCAGACUCCUACGGGAGGCAGCAGUAGCGAAUCUUCCGCAAAGGGCGAAAGCCUGACGGAGCAGCGCCGCGUUAGUGAUGAAGGUCUUCGGAUCGUAAAACUCUGUUAUUAGGGAAGAACAUAUGUGUAAGUAACUGUGCACAUCUUGACGGUACCUAAUCAGAAAGCCCCGGCUAACUACGUG
rnacentral:rRNA from 1 species